CAGAGUUUGAUCAUGGCUCAGAUUGAACGCUGGCGGCAGGCCUAACACAUGCAAGUCGAGCGGAAACGACACUAACAAUCCUUCGGGUGCGUUAAUGGGCGUCGAGCGGCGGACGGGUGAGUAAUGCCUAGGAAAUUGCCUUGAUGUGGGGGAUAACCAUUGGAAACGAUGGCUAAUACCGCAUGAUGCCUACGGGCCAAAGAGGGGGACCUUCGGGCCUCUCGCGUCAAGAUAUGCCUAGGUGGGAUUAGCUAGUUGGUGAGGUAAUGGCUCACCAAGGCGACGAUCCCUAGCUGGUCUGAGAGGAUGAUCAGCCACCCUGAAGGG
rnacentral:rRNA from 1 species